rnacentral:rRNA from 1 species
UACAUGGGGUGCAAACGUUGCUCGGAAUUAUUGGGCGUAAAGCGCACGUAGGCGGUUUGUUAAGUCGGAUGUGAAAUCCCUCGGCUCAACUGAGGAAGUGCAUCCGAAACUGGCAGGCUUGAGUACUAAAGGGGGUCGCGGAAUUCCCGGCGUAGAGGUGAAAUUCGUAGAUAUCGGGAGGAACACCGGUGGCGAAGGCGGCGACCUGGGGUAGAUACUGACGCUGAGGUGCGAAAGCGUGGGGAGCAAACAGG